rnacentral:rRNA from 1 species
GACGAACGCUGGCGGCGUGCUUAACACAUGCAAGUCGAACGAUGAAGCCGGAGCUUGCUCUGGUGAAUUAGUGGCGAACGGGUGAGUAACACGUGAGUAACCUGCCCUUGACUCUGGGAUAACUGCGGGAAACUGUAGCUAAUACCGGAUACGACCCUCGGAGGCAUCUCCUGGGGGUGGAAAGAAUUUCGGUCAAGGAUGGACUCGCGGCCUAUCAGCUAGUUGGUGAGGGAAAGGCUCACCAAGGUGACGACGGGUAGCCGGACUGAGAGGGAGACCGGCCACACUGGGACUGAGACACGGCCCAGACUCCUACGGGAGGCAGCAGUGGGGAAUAUUGCACAAUGGGCGCAAGCCUGAUGCAGCAACGCCGCGUGAGGGAUGACGGCCUUCGGGUUGUAAACCUCUUUUAGCAGGGAAGAAGCGAAAGUGACGGUACCUGCAGAAAAAGCACCGGCUAACUACGUGCCAGCCGCCGCCGCCG